AGAGAGAGACAUGCGCGCAUAUCAAUAAGCGGAGGAAAAGAAACUAACAAGGAUUCCCCUAAUAACGGCGAGUGAAGCGGGAAGAGCUCAAAUUUGAAAUCUUAAAGGGUUUCCCUUUACGAAUUGUAGUUUAAAGAAGUGUAUUCUGUUGAGGUUUUGGUAAAAGUUCUUUGGAAUAGGACAUCAUAGAGGGUGAGAAUCCCGUAUUUGACCUUUACUUUCAACUUUGUGAUACACUUUCAAAGAGUCGGAUUGUUUGGGAAUGCAGUCCAAAAUGGGUGGUAAAUUUCAUCUAAAGCUAAAUAUUGGCGAGAGACCGAUAGCGAACAAGUACCGUGAGGGAAAGAUGAAAAGAGCUUUGAAAAGAGAGUUAAACAGUACGUGAAAUUGUCAAAAGGGAAGCGUUUGACACCAGUGUUGUUUUUCUGAAAAUCAAUUAAAGAACUGUUUAUGCUAAGUUGUUUAGACUUUAUCAGCUAACUGUUUAGUUUUGAGCUUUUCUUUAAUGCACUUUUCAGUUAACAAGUCAACAUCAAUUUCUUUUGCUGUAAAAAAGCUUGAGGAAGGUGGCUUGAGAUUCGUCUUAAGUGUUUAUAGCCUCUUGCCUAUGCAGUCGGAGAGAUUGAGGUCUGCAGCGUAGAUCCUUCGGGGCUAAUGCAUUUGUGCUAAGUUAUAGCAUUUUAUAGACAACUUGUCGACUAUGAUUUGUCUUGUAGCUUACUCGCUUAUGUUAUUUUACCUACGCUUAGGAUGUUGACGCAUGAGAUAUACGC
rnacentral:rRNA from 1 species